UUCUUGGUGCCAAUUAAUUUUAGCUGCAAAGCUGAAGUGGCAAAGCCAAGCAAAAGCAAAAAGGAGUCAUAGAAAUGACCUGGGCCGGGUGGGUGGGCUGCUCGGGGGUGGUGCCUUUGCCAGGCAUGCAAGAGGCUGGGGUUCCCUAACAAUGGCCAUAAGAGCAUAUCGUGAUCGUGUGGCUGUAUUAAAUCCCCACAUUCUCCAUCUUAAAGUUUACCGAUCGAUCGAUCAGUCCAGAAGCACACUGCCUCGGAUGAAGGGACUUAGAGGCGUCUCCUCUUUGUUCUAAAACUAGCCUCUUUUCCCACGGACCCAGGCCUGAAUGUCCUGUCUAAACUGGAUCAGGCAGCUUAAAUCAUAUGACAUGAAAACCUAAAUCAGCCCUAUAACAAAUGCUUUCCUAAAACACCUACUAUGUGAUAAAGCAUCAGGACGAGGAACAGGAAGCAUCUCACAGUGAGACCACAGCUUUUGGUCAAGAGGUAUUGGUGAUGCGAGACAAAGCGUUCGCUACAGGAAAACUUCUACUAAAAGACACUCAUUUCAGUCUAGUGCACUACAAACACUACCAGCGGAGUUCAAUCCCACCCUCUACCAUGGGCACAUAGCAGGCAAUUCCUAAUAAUACAGAAUUAUCUCCCGCAAACCUCAGGAUUAAAACCAUAUCUCUAGUGGAGAUGUCUCUGGGAGUGUUUGAUCCAAAUUUCUUGGCUUCUAAAGGGGAAAGGGGAACCAGCCGUACAUGCCAUGGUGGCAGCCCCGCCCCCACAUGCUCUUUCAGAAUAAUUCUCUGAGGGCUCAUUUGUCACAUGCAGAACAGUGAGGUUGCCAAAGAGUUGAGAAAGGCUAGGGGACAUUUUGGAAAGUUGCUGUUUGACUCAGAAGUUAGAAUGUGGACAGCGAGACAUGACAGUGUGUGGAACUGAGCAAGGCCAGGCCGAAAGAGAAAAGACUUUGAUCACAGUUUGUUUGGUUUUUUAAAUCCUCAUUCUUUUGUUAAAAAAAAAAAUGCAUGCAUGUACACACAUACACACAUGAAUGUAAAAUAUAAUGCAUAAGCUGGGAGUAGCAGUACUGGGUUCAUUUGGAGGUUAACCCAUUGUGUCUUUAGGAAUCAUAGCCCCAUCAUCUGCCUUCCCAGGCCUCCUGGAUGGCUCUGCCGCCCACACUGCUCUACAGUUAGCCUGGCAAGGUUCCAAGCUUUCUCCUCUGUACUACUUCCGUACCAGGACUUCUCUUGACACACCCUUGAUUACAGCCUAGUAAAUGAUUAUGGCAAUAAGGUGUGCAAUGAAGCAGAAGAACUAGGAGUAUGUAUUCUUCAGAUAACACAGAAGAGAUUUCUACAAAGCUAUAAAACCGUUAAGUCUUAUGUCCAAUUAUCUCAGGAGUGAGUCAUUCAGGUGUGGUGGCUCAGGCCUGUAAUCGUAUGUUCAGGAGGCAGAUCGGGAGUCCAGAGCCAGCCUCAGCUACUUAAAGAGUCCAAAGAGACAGCCUGCCUAGGAGAGACUGUGUCUCCAAAAUGAUAAAAUAAAAAUAAGUAAAUAACACACACAUACAGUAGCAUAAUAAAUAAUAGCACACACAGAGAGAUAUGUCGUGAUAGAGAGAUAAUAAGAGUAAAGAUCAUGAAACACAAGAGCAGAACAAAUAAAUGAAGGCUAAGUAUAUAGAGGUUAGAAACAAGGGGUGUGAGAAUGCACUGGGGUCUUUUAGAGAAGCAGUUAUCAGCACUACCUACAGGAGUUUCCAACAGGCUUGGGAGGAGGAUGACUCACAGGGAAAGAGAGGAAUUGAGGCUGGAAGCAAUGGCCCAAGCCAAAGCAGCCAAGAAAAGUAUGACUUCACAGACCCCACCCCACCCCACCCAUCCUUCCUACCACUCAGCUCAAGAGGCGGACUUACACUAUACUCGACAGCUAGAAUGGGAUGCUUGGAGAUGCUCCUCCUCCUGUAAGCUCCGGGACACAACCCUUACACCUUGGAUCACUGCAGCCACUUCUAAACCCAACUCCUGGGAGGGUUUACAGUAAGUACCAUCUCCCUCCUCCUUACUUCUAAGACAUCUUUCUAGGGCUCCCAAGUUACAGACAGCUCAAGAUCUUUAAAAUGUCUGGAGGAUUCUUCACAGGAGAGUCCCUCCAUGUCCUUCCAGCCUGGCAUCUCUGCUCCGCGUAGGCUUUCCACAGCCUAACCACCACCUCUUCUGGAAAGUUCCCUUUCCUGCCGUCCUCCCAUAGUUCCGCAUACACUUCAAUAAAGCCACCCUCUACAAGGGACUUUUCAUGUUUCAAGGGACCCCCCGCCCUGGGACAGGGCUGUGUGCCUUGCCCCAUCUACCCCACAGCCAUCUGCCCUUAGCCCAGAAGGGUUACUCCACCACUGUUCAUGAGGUCCAACAGACCAGGACUAGAGUGGGGGAUGAUUAAACAUGAAAUGGACCUCGGGAAUAGUUUACAUGGGUAGAUAAGUCUUCCUGAGACUGCCACACCGAAAGAGGACAGAGAAAUGGCUGGGCCAUCAUCUAACAUGGCCUCGGUCCAUUUCCCAGGCGACAGACAAUCCGUCUGAGAAACCACAAAGUCAACGACCAGAAACGGACGGCAAACCGAGAGCUUUCAAACGCAUCCAUCUGAAGCCUGAGUCCUUCCUGAGAGCAGCCAGGUCUAGGACUACUUUCCCUUAGCAGAGUUUGAGCCACAGGUAAUCCAAGAAAAUAAAAGCCUUUUUAAACCUAUCAUACAAACUAUAGUUUUGUAUAGUAUUAUACAAACUAUAGAGGAGUGAGAGGCACUGAAGAAAUAUAUUAACCAAGAGCAUCUACAUUCUGCCAUGAAAGCUAUUGCUAUUCCUUUUUUAAGAUGGGGGAGGGGGGUGUAAGAGAGCCAAAGCAGAAAUGAAGGUCAGAGAAUAUGUGGAAGUAUAAUAAUCUCUCCUUCAUCAUGUGGGUCAUGGGGACUGAAUUCACGUCCUCCAUGGGGAUUGAAUUCACGUCCUGGAGCUUGGUAGCGGGUGCCUUUACCCCCUGAGUCAUCUCACCUGUCCUAUAUCACGUUUUAAAUCAAGAGGAAGUGAUGCUGAAUCAACUGACAAACUGGAGGUGGAAAGUGUGGAGACAAAAGCUGCCAAGGACAGACCACUCUGCAUUUCCGAGACUUGCAGUUACAGCCAUCUCCACCAGGGCACUUCUGCAACCGCUGCCCACACAGGACUUCUGUGGCUCCUUGGUAAAAUUGAGCAAGUUUUUAAGAAAAGAAAAAAAACAAAAAAACAAAAAACAAAAAACUGUGCCCCAUGGGUUCACUCAUCACUGCACCUUUUGGGUUACUUCCGAUGGUCACGACUUAACAAGGAAGACAACCAUGGGAAAGAUACCAUUUUCAAUUCUCCAUGUGGGUUCAUGCCAGGCAAGGAGGCUACUCCUGCACCUAAAGCGGUACCUAAAUAUUGAACAACGGCCAGAGUUAGUUCUCUAAGUACCGAGCAACAACCUGAAGUAACUGUUUAUAAAGCCGGGCAACCCGGCCUCCCAGAAGACUCGGCUUCACACACGCGGGUGGAACACCUCCGUGAUACAUCUUCUACUUUAAAAUGGUUUACUUUCGUUGUUUGAGGUUUGCCUUAGAUGACGUUGGGGCCUCGUGUCAAAGUAACUUUCCUGCUCUGAAUUUUAAAGCUAAGCAAAAUUUAACAGAAAUUAACAUGGGCGCUGAUUAUGCUUUAAACAACUAUACAACGCUCCCUCUAGUGAGGAGUCCCGAAGAGAGAGACUAACCAAGAGCUUUAACACUACAAGAUUGGAGGCAGAGGUUUCAAUUGCAGUCCUCCAUUUCACCAGCGCCUCCUCUCCCACUGUUGGAUUUAGAAUUAGUUCAUAAUAGUCUAUCAACCUACUUCAGUAAACCUUCAAGAAGGCUUAUAAUUCUGUAGUAACAUAAACGUUCAUAGGUUUGGUAAAACGUCUGGGACAAAAACAUAACUAUGAUCCACAUGAAAUUCAUAAUUCAAUAAAGGACAACCAAAAAUUGCCAGGACCUGCUUAAACGUUGCCUGUCCAAACAGGCUGUCUGCUAUCUAAAGUAUGAAUCUAAAUACUGGAGGCUACAGUAAGAAGAGGCAGAGGUAGUUAACUACAUCGGCUGUUUUACUUCGUGGAACAAGCAUGAAUUACAUGGGUCAGUAAAAGCAAAGCCAGCCUACUGGCAGGGUCUGAAGACAACCUAUGAUGCCUAUCAUGUAACAGAGGCUAGACCAAAUUAGAUUUUCUUUCUAAAUUGAAAUCUGAGGGCAGCAAGGGCUUACACUCAGAGCCUCUUGCUUAUGUCAAUUUCUAUUCCGGCUGGAUCUCACUUGAGUGCCUCACUAUGACAGACAAGAAUAUUUCCCUAAGAAACUAACUGUGCUAAUACGAGUGUAACUUUUUAACGCUGCUCCCGUGGGUGGUAUUUUAUGUAAACGGUCACUUAACUGUUCAGUCUCAUGAGACAAGAGCAUCCUACAUCCUUUACCCAAUCAGCCGCCAGGUGCAGAGCCUUAACUUGCUCAACUCUGGGAAAUCAGAAACUUCUACUUGACAGUGUGAGGCUCCAGGAAGGCUAACCUGGGCACACUUUUCUCCUCUCCUUAAAAAGGAAUACUAUUUGCUCUCUCCACAAAGAGGAGUGCCUGAUAAACCGCUGUCACAAUGAAAGGCCAAGGCUAAAUCGCGGCGUGGAAUUCCCAAGUUCGUCUAGACCUGGGAGUUACCAAAUUCCUUUGAUUGGUCUGUGAGCAAAACCUGAAAGGAAGGAAAAGCCACACCCAACUCCUAAAUUUACUUUGUAAAGUGUUUGGAGGCCUUGAGAGGGAACAUUUUGACAUCCAGGAGGCCUGAUGGAAACGUGCCACGGUCCUCCGCCCGGCGUCGCCCCGCGUCCCUGCCCCGCGCCCGCGGCUCCAGCCCUUUUGUUUGUGUCUCUGCGGGCUGGUGCAGCGGCGCAGCCUGUGGCCUCGGAGAAUCCGGCUCAGGUGUGUCGUGAACCCGGGAGCAGGGGCCCCCAAAACACCGCCCGGAGCGGACGCAGGAAAAAGACCCGAAGUUGCUUGGGAGGUUCGGCUUCCGCGCAGAGGCGUCCGCCCCGGAUCCCCCUUGCCCUGGCCCCGGUUCCGGCACUCACCAAUGUCUCCAUCCUCAUCGUCGUCCUCCUCCAGCUCCAUGUUCAGCAGGACCUUCCUAGUCAUCAUCUGCAUGUCUCCCGGAGACCGUCACUCGGCUGCUCUCGGCUCCGCUCGGCUCCGCUCGGCUCGGGCCGCAAGCUCCGCUCUGCCCUCUCGGCACUGCCCCGCUGCGCUCCGCCCGCGCUCUGCUUCAGCAGGCGCUGCUCAGCCUGCGACUGAGCAUGCCCAGAGGGACGCCGCCGCUCCCGCCCCAGAUCAAACCGCCCCGGCUGCGAGGAGCCUGGGAGGAAGUCGGGCUGGGGGGGUUGGGGGAAGGGGAGUGGCAGAAGCCGGGCGAGCCGCGCCGCGCCUGCGGGGAGCGCUGCAGCCGCAGAGGCAGGCCGGCUUCUAUGAGCUCACGAGGGUCUUUAAUCUGCAGAAUGACGAGACGUUGCAAGGUCUCUGUAAAAUGGGCUAGCAAGCAGCUGCUGUAUUCUUCAAUCUCUGCAAUCCUCCUGAGCAUACUUGAGACCACCCUAGAAGUCUGGGCACUGGCAAAGGGUCAGGAUCAUGACCAGGUGAGGCAUGGUGGCAGCUGUCCCUUACCUGGAUUGCCAGAACCUCAAUCACCCAGACUGAAAAGCAAAGAAUGUCUCUCUCACACAGAGAUUGUCAUCUCAGCCAUGUGGACUGCAGUGAAAAGCCAGAGAGACGUACCUGGCUCGCCUUCUGCCUUUGCAAAAGCAGUUAGUCAGACCACCAACAGAUUAGUUGGAGACUCCACAGCUACAGAACCUUAUAUGCUCUUUGAACAAAGAACUCUAACCAUUACAAUAUUUUAGCUUUGGGGAAUGAAAUAUGGAGUGUAAAAAAA